UUCUUAUUAGCUUAAUGGUAGAACAAUAUUUUCCUAAAUUAUAGGUCUAAGUUCAAAUCUUAGACAAGAAA